rnacentral:lncRNA from 1 species
CUGGAAUGCAAGAUGUUUUGUUAAACUCAGUCUCUCUUAGGAAUAGCAUCCUCAAAGCCAAAUCACUCCCAUUAGCAAUUGCCAUGAGACUGACUUGUUUAUUUAUCAGCAGUUAAUUCCUUCACUCCUCUCACAUGAAGCUAAGAAAUCAGUUUGCUAAAGAGAUGAAUACGUAUUUUUUGGAGUGAGGCAGCCCAGGCAAGAUACCACUUCCUGCUUUCUUUUCCAUAUUUGUUAAUGUUCUUUUAUUAGCACAGUACUAACUUUUCACAAAACAAAGAUCAGAUGGGCAGGCUGAUGCAUGCCUAGUGAUUGCGCCCCGGAGUACAUCAAUUCCUUUAACUUAAAGGACAGGAAAUUUUUGGCAUUGUGAAAAGAGGUCUGUAGGUGAUUUCCUGAUUGUGCAUCUCCAGAAUUGCUACUGAAAAUUAAUCUACAUUCACAAUUAGGUCUUGCAUUCCAUUCUCUUGCGAAAAUGAUAGCAGAGACCUCUCAUCCCCAUUAUUUUCUGUUUUCUUCUGGCAAAGGAUUAGUAUUUCUGUAGGAAUCAGAGUCCUGUCCUUAUGUACCCUGAUAGCCUCGAAGUCUACUUGAAAGCCACAGACUUGCGUUGAACAAGCCAUGUCAACAGGAUGUGUUAGCUCAGUGUGUACUUCAGGGGCUUUCUUACUGUGUGACAACCACACGAGGUAAGUGCUCUACUUGCAGUGCAGUUGUUUUGUAUAAAAAGAAAAAGACCUGAGCUGCCAUUGGUUGUCAUUGCUCUAUAUAGAAAUACUUCCUGGCCAGAAGUUGCUGGAUACCAACAAGCAGUGUGAGGGAGUAACCGGGAUAAUUCAGGACAAAAAUGUAAGAGAGACCAGAAAAAAACUGGGCACGGGAAAGGGAAUGCAGGGAACAGUGCCCGUGUAAACAGGCAGGGUGUGUCUUCUGGUAUGCUUUUUUCCUAACAGUGGAGAACCUGGGGCUGACGCUGACAUGAAGCAUGCCAGUAAAUGUAACACCUGAAGAAAGAGUACACAUGCGAGUCACAAAAGCUUUUGUAAGCUAAAAUUGUUUGCUUUAGCUGCAGGAAGCAGAACUGUGGCACACAGCCAUUUUGCCCUGAUUUUUUCUGUGUUUUUCAACAGAAAAGUCAUCUCCUCUAACAGUUGUGUGCGUGUGAUUCCUGCACUGAAACUGGCUGGGAUGCUGUCAGGAUAAGAAGAUGCAGUUACAUGGCUAGGAGAAAGUAUCAGCAUACAUGAGACUUGACCCCACAGUGACCUGCUUGCACAAGCAGCCUCAGAUUUCUCUGAAGCCUUUAGGUCGAUUGUUCAGUCUGCCCUUGUUGGAACUGGGUUUGGCGCGUUUUAGGAACAAUGUGUUUAGUUUGAGCUGUCACCACCCUGGUUAGCAUUGUCCUGAUGUUAUGAAAGGUGGAAUGACUGGGAAGCCAGGGGAGCACCUGACCAAGAUGAAUCAUUGUGGAACGAUAGUGUAACUUCCAGGAAAGACAGAAGCCAUCACAGAACAGAGCAGGCAGGGAGCGGAGGAGGACACCGUGAGAAAGAAAUAAUUAUGGCAAAAGUAAAAGAAUGCUCUCAACUACUUGUUCAGUCUAAUUGCAUCCUUACAAAUAUGAGCUCAGUGGAAAAAAUAUGGCAGAGAUUCAUUACAGGACAUCUGCUUGGUGAAGUCAUUUUUCUAGUGCACUGCUGGUCUGUUCAAGCCGUAAUACUCUGCUCUUUUGUCCUUAAGAAAUAUCACUGAAAGAAGAUGAUGAAGAAAGAAAAAAUGUUUUAAGAAAAUCAUUGAUAACUCGCAGCUCGAUUAUACUCAACAACUGAAUCAGAAACUGGAUGGCAAAUACAAUUUGUAAUACCAUGUGUUGGCCAAGUCCAUCAGAAAUGAUUGAUGUCUCAUCAUCAUGGUUGGGUACCACAGGAUCCAACAAGGUGCCAGAGUUUAGGAGGACCGGAGGCUGAACUGGCUGUGAGUAGGUUUCUUCCAGAAAAAUGUCUGAGAGAAAAAGGAAGGGAUGUGCUGCUGUUCUCCUGGAUGGGACAAAGAUAUCCUCAUGUAGGAAACAGUGUUCAUCCCUAUCUCAAACAGACACGUUUGUUGGAAUAGAGUACUUAAAUCUGUGCAUAGACAUAGAUGGAAACCAGCAGUCCUAGCAUGGUUUAUAGGAAUUACAGAUCAUCCUGAGUGCAAUCACACGGCAUGUGCAAGACAACCAGGGAAUCAGGCCCAGCCAACAUGGGUUCAUGAAAGGCAGGUCGUGCUUGACCAACCUCAUCUCCUCCUAUGACAAAGUGACCUACCUGGUUCAACAAGACCAAGUGCUGGAUCCUGAACAUCGGUCACAACAACCCCAAGCAACAGUAUAGACCUGGGGCAGGGUGGCUGGAAGGCUACGCAGAAAAAAAGGAUCUGGUGAUGUUAGUUGAUGUUCAGCUGAACAUGAGCCAGCAGUGUGCCCAGGUGGCCAAAAAGGCCAAUGGCAUCCAGGGUUGCAUCAGAAAUAGAGCAGCCAGCGGGAGCAGGGAAGUGGUUUUCCCUCUAUCAGCUCUGGUGAGGUUGCAUCUCAAGUACUAAGUUCAGCUUUGAGCUCUCACUAUGAGUAUGUCACUGAGGCCCUGGAGCGUGUCCAGAAAGGGGCAACAAAGCUGUGAAGGGUGUGGAGCGCAAGUCUUAUGGGGAACAGCUGAGGGAACUGGGAUUGUUCAGUCUGGAGAAGAGAAGGCUCAGGGGGGACCUUUUCACCCUCUACAACUCCCUGAAAGGAGGUUGUGAUGUGAUGGGAGUCAGCCUCUUCUCCCAGGUAACAGCAAUAGGAUGAGAGGGAAUGGCCUCAAGUUGUUCCAGCGGAGGUUCAGGUGGGCAUUAGGAAGAUCUCUGAAAGAGUGGAGAUGCACUGGCACAGGCUGCCCAAGGAAGUGGUGGAGUCACUGGCCAUGGAGAUGUUCAAGAAAUGUGGAGAUGUGGUACUUAGGAACAUCGUUUAGUGGGCAGUAUUAGAGGUAAGUUGGACUUAGAUGAUCUUAGUGGUCUUUUCCAACCAUUAUGCUUCUAUGAUUACGUGAACGCAUGAAAAAAGCAAGUAGAAGGAGAUUUCACCAACACUUCCAUCAGCACAUGAGCCACACUGCUCCAAGUGCUUUCUUUCCUUAACAAUUCAGUUUCUUUUUUUCGCUGUUGUUUUUCCCAUGACUGAGAAGCA